UUCCCAAACUUUUCUGAAUCUUUAUCCUUGUUCUCUAGAGAUUCCAUGCAAAUUUGUCGGCAUAAAAUGUCUGCGAGCAAACGUAACUUGUGUAUUCGUGAUCAAUGCCGCCAAAAACAGUUGUGCAAUUUCUUUCUCCCGAAUUACAAGCCGGCAUUUUGACUUUGUGUGCCCAAUACUGUACCCGUAGAAUACCAUGGGGACCUAAUUGUUGGCUAAGUUAAUGGCUUGCUUGAGUUUUCAUGCAUGCCUCAUUUUCCCAUGGCCUCAGACGCUUUCAAGUGCGCUCCAGCCAUCUUAACCACUGCAGGAUGAUGAUCGGCCAUAUAUUCUGUUACAAGCUCUUGACUUUCCUGAUUUGUUGACGGAAUUCCAAAUCGUUGUUACACUGAACGUGAGAGGACCGCGCAUAUUUACGUAGUCUACAAUAAUAACCAAAUUUCGAUGCCUAUACACUCCCGGGAAUAUGUGGCCAAAGUACUACUUAUCCUGGACAUCGGUAUAUGGCUGCAGCCAAACGUUACAAUAGCUGUCUCCGGCUCAUGUCCUGUGGAGUGCCGGUGUGAAAAUCGCGACAUAUAUGUCCGACUCCUCAACCACACGCAAACAUCCAGUACAACCAGCUGUUCCAGUCGGAAUUUAAAGCGCAUCCCACGAGAUUUAUCUUCUGACACGGAAGCCAUUCUGCUGAGAAACAAUUCCAUUACGAUGCACGUGGGAAUAAAAAAUGCCGGCAAGAUCCGCCUACUGGACUUAUCGCACAACAUGAUCCAGGGUUUCUUCGGUCGUUUAUCACUGCCCCAUCUGCAGCAUCUCGAUCUGGGUUAUAAUCUAAUCCCACGGGUGUCCAGUGGUGAUAAUGACUUUUUCCAGCUACUGCGCAAUUUACAAACACUCAGCCUGCGGGGCAAUGCCAUACGGACGGUCGAUAGUGAUACGCUCGAUUUACCCCGGCUAAGAGUGCUGGAUUUGGCGGAGAACAGCUUAACCUCCCUGAAAGUGGGCGUAUUUACUAGUUUAUCCCAAUUAACCCACCUGGACGUUGGGCAUAAUAAUCUCAGUGACCUUUGGCUGAAUUUCCUCACUUUGUCCCAUUUGGAUAUUUCCUUCAACCGGAUCACCAGUCUCAAAUGUGAACACCUCAACGCUACCACACUGGACAUUUCCGGCAAUGCGUUUGUUAUUCUGGAUGCCGGCUCACUGCAAGGCAUUGAGACAAAGCACCUCAAUCUGUCGUUUAUGCCGUACUUAUGGAAAAUUGCCUCCUCAGCAUUGAGUGGGAUUUCCGGUGUAAAUACUCUUGAUUUAUCGCACAAUUACAAUCUGACGUUUAUUGAAGACGGAUUUGUGGGAAUGAAUAAUGUCAGUGUAAUGAAUGUGGACAGGAGUAGUAUUGUACAAGUUCCGCUGGACAUUUCCGCUGCGUCCGACAUGACAGCUUCGCUCAUCGGUGUCCCACUUUCCUGCCCAAUCAAUAUAGAUUAUCUUGUACACAGUCAACCGCACAAUGCCACUUGUGUCUGGCAAGGACAGAUCCUCACUGUCCCGGAGUUAACAAGCCAAAAAAACAUGUAUGAUUGGUCUAUCGCGUCACCGCAAAUAAUUCCGACAUUCCCGAAAAUUAUUACCAUGGAUCUGGGCAUGGUCCUGGAAAUCCAGUGUACCGCUUUUCCCUCCACUGCCCGGAUUAAUUGGUUCCGACUGGAUGAGAGACGCAAGAUUGAACAACCCAUGCCCUCUAUUUCGGGAAUGCUGCAGUUGCGACCGUUGAAUUUUGUCAACAGCGGUAAAUACCUGUGUCGCGCGACCAGUGAGUAUGGAGCGGUCAACCGCACCGUACAGGUUAUUGUCACCUAUGCACCGGUGGUCAUCAUCCCGCUGAUGAUAACCCACCAGUACGUGACCUUUGCGUGGAAUAAUUCCGAUCCGUCCAUUGCAUCGCAGUUUCGCGUGCGGUAUUUCGAAUGGAUUGGGGAGAAUUUCACCUUGAUUCGUACGGUGUUUAUGGACCACUUGGUGCGGCGAUAUACAAUUGGCAAUCUGAAAGCCGGUACCUUGUACAAAUUUUGUUUAUAUCUGAAUAAGUCUGGAACGGUGGAAGAACUGGAUUGUAAAAACAUGACGAAGAAAAUGUUGGAUAUAUCUGGGCGUCCCUUUGGAUCGGCGUACGAGCUACUAAUCGUCAUUGGAUGCAUAUCGCAGAUUUCACGAACUGGCCGCUUAAACUGGAUGCGGUAUCAUUGGGCGGUAUAUCCAAAUUAUGGUCAGAUUGCUGUUCCGGUGCCGUUGAUGCUGGAGGCUCAUGCAGCUCAACAUCCUGUCUCGGUUCUUUGGGAGAGGACACAUGUGUGCUGUUCAACAAGUUUGAUUAAAAACCAUAAUACCACAGACUUUGUACGAAGCGCACACUCUAACAAUACAGCUACCGUAGGAAUAUUCAGGUUUACUCAUCGAUCGCAUAAUUGAAUUAACGACGUGCCAUCAUCACCGCGCCGGGCUUUUGUGCACUGGCCCAGGCAUCUUCCGGAGACCAUUUUUGGUUUUUGGAUCGUUGGAAUCGAAAGCCGUGGAUGUAAUAUCGAGCGUUAUGGAUAAUGUCAGCUGAUCCCCUUUAAUUGAUUUCAUCGUCUUCAGUCCAAUAAUCUAUAAUUACAGCUACCUUUAAAGCUGAUUUCAUGUCGGCUACCUCUAAGGACAAGCGAACGUGAUAAUCUUUGAGGCGAGCUGCAACUAUAUAUUGCGUGGAAAUAAUGCCGCUUGUUAAUAUUUUUUUGCGUGCCGGAAGUCCCUCCGAAAAAUCGGCAAAAUACUCGCUAGUCUGAUAACGGUACUGUAUAAAUUGCAGCUGUAAGGCACUUGUCCGCAUUUAAUCUUUCUACGAGGGCAUCUCUAUUUGAUCUUCAUCUUCUACAUGAAGACGACAUCCAAACCCAUCGAAAUCUACUUGCCAGAUACGAAAUUACACAAACGUGACACAAAAGAGGGUUCGAUCUUACGAUGUUCAUACGACAGGAAGUGAGCUGCGAAGAAAACUGUGGAUGGCUUUCGGCAUAGUCCAAGAGAAAUCUGCUGACGAGAUCGAUUUGCUUUUUCCAUGGCGCUAAAAUUAAUAAAAAUUUGCAUUGAUGCAUUUCGUGCACUUGCUCUUAAGUUAUAGCGCUUGAACAGUUUUUGCUUCGUGAUAACUAAGUUAUUUUUGAGGAUUUAAAUGCCUUUCGCAACUGGAAGUUUGGGUCGGCUUUUGUACUUCAUAGCUGCAAAACUACUGUAUCUGUACAGUACUGCUGACAACGAAAUGCCAAUGGAUAUUGGGCUGGGAAUUC